CAGAUCUUAGUUUAAUUAAAAACAUGAAAUUUGGAUUUUCAAAAUUAAAAUUCUGA
rnacentral:tRNA from 1 species